GCCUUUGUGGUUCAAUGUAGAUCACCUCGAGAUUGUGUGAAGUAAAGUUUGAUAAAGAUUAAGGAAGAGAUGUGGGUUCAAAUCCCGCCGCAGGCA